GCCACAGGAGGGCACUCCAGGCGCGCCGCUGACGCCUCCGUUGCUGAGCGUAGAGCCACACCGGGAUCCCCGGCUGCACGAAGCCCACCCCACGCACGGGCCGGACGCUGCGGCCGCCCCCCGCCCCCCCGCUUUUGGGAAAUUCGGGGACGGAGCCCCUUCGCCCCUCCUGGGACACGGGCUGGCGCUGGGGCUGGCUCUGAGCUUGCCGCGGAUCUUUGUGGAUGCCGCAAUCCAAUCCGGCUCUUCCCUUUCGCGGCUCUAGACACGCGCCUGCGCGGAGACAGGCCACUCCCAACAUGCCCGAAGUGACGAUCCAGACGGCAUCUUGUUCGUAGCUUACAACAGGAAGUGUAGCCCUCCGCCAUUUUAGUAUGGCCGUCCUUGCAGAGGUAUUCCAUCGAUGUACAAAGAGGAAGCGGUGCUGCUCCUGCCGUGUACACCUGACCCCAGGACGUUUUCUCCUACUCGGCGUCUCCUCGAAGUAGGGAUUUGAUUUUCUAGGCUUGGCCUCGGAGUUAACUCUAACCCAACCCUACUACACGGGGAGAUGCUGGCAGUCCCAUCAUGCGUGAGGCCGACGCCAGGAAGAAGCUGCAUGGGACCGUGAGGCGCUAGCUGUGCUGAGAAGGAGAAACCCACAGUCUAAACGGGGGUCCCAUGGGUCGAAUCGCACCUGAAUGCAGCCCACGACAGGACCCAGAACCCUCCUAGAUGAAUGCGGGGACUUCCUUUGCAGCAUGCUGGCAUUCUUUCGUUGAAAGUUCACAGGCGAGCACAGAAUGGAGUGGUCUUUCACAUGAAAGUACCAACUUUCAGUCAUUGGCAGUACAGCAGAAGGUUGCAUAGGCAUAAUUUUGGGGCAAAGGGCCCCAUGCUAGCCUCAUUGAAAUUAGCAUGGAAAAUUUCAAAUGAGAAACAUUUGGCUUUUAAGGAAAAUAGAUUAUACUGGAAGGUAUCCUCAUCUCUACAUUGGUGUAAGUAUAGCUUCACGGGAACACCCUAGAUUCAUGAGAUUAGAGUGCCUUAUUUUAAUAUAACCUAUCAAUGGAUCUAUUUCAACAGCAAUCACCUACACUGGAAUUCAGACCCUCUCUUUGGUUCCCCAGGUCCUGUCUUAAGUCUUCCUGUCAUUUUCUUGACCCUGUGCAGAAUAGACCCUGUGUAGAUGUUUUUUUACAAGGUGAUUAAAGGACCCCACGGGUGCUUCAUGGCAGGGGUGAGCAAAAGGCAGAGAGCCUCGUGCAGGGACCUUCUUUUGCCCCCUCUGCUGAACUGGGCAGGCUUGUGUAGCGCACAGCAGAGACCGGAGACCUAAACCGGGCUCACCGAUUCCGCCUCUUUAGCAGAAGCUUGUAAACCAGUCCUGUGAAGUGGUGAGGAGGUUGCUGGGAAUCUGACAGAAUGGGCCGCUUGGGCAGCUUGGUUUGUUUUCCCCCUCCUGUCGUGCCCCCACACCCCGUUUCUGCCCAUGUCCGCCUGUAUCUGUGGGGCUGGGGGCUGCCAUGGCAGGUUUGCCUCCUGAAUCAAAGGUCAGAUCUAACACGGAAGAGUGACUGAGAUGGGGAAAUUUGUCAGUGCUGAGAAAUGGAAAUGCACCUUAUGCUGA